rnacentral:rRNA from 1 species
CUUGAGCCGUGGCUUUCGGAGCUAACGCGUUAAGUAGACCGCCUGGGGAGUACGGUCGCAAGAUUAAAACUCAAAUGAAUUGACGGGGGCCCGCACAAGCGGUGGAGCAUGUGGUUUAAUUCGAUGCAACGCGAAGAACCUUACCUACUCUUGACAUCCAGAGAACUUAGCAGAGAUGCUUUGGUGCCUUCGGGAACUCUGAGACAGGUGCUGCAUGGCUGUCGUCAGCUCGUGUUGUGAAAUGUUGGGUUAAGUCCCGCAACGAGCGCAACCCUUAUCCUUGUUUGCCAGCACUUCGGGUGGGAACUCCAGGGAGACUGCCGGUGAUAAACCGGAGGAAGGUGGGGACGACGUCAAGUCAUCAUGGCCCUUACGAGUAGGGCUACACACGUGCUACAAUGGCGCAUACAGAGGGCGGCCAACUUGCGAAAGUGAGCGAAUCCCAAAAAGUGCGUCGUAGUCCGGAUUGGAGUCUGCAACUCGACUCCAUGAAGUCGGAAUCGCUAGUAAUCGUGGAUCAGAAUGCCACGGUGAAUACGUUCCCGGGCCUUGUACACACCGCCCGUCACACCAUGGGAGUGGGCUGCAAAAGAAGUGGGUAGUUUAACCUUCGGGAGGACGCU